AUUGAACGCUGGCGGCAGGCCUAACACAUGCAAGUCGAGCGGAAACGAGUUAACUGAACCUUCGGGGGACGUUAACGGCGUCGAGCGGCGGACGGGUGAGUAAUGCCUAGGAAAUUGCCCUGAUGUGGGGGAUAACCAUUGGAAACGAUGGCUAAUACCGCAUGAUGCCUACGGGCCAAAGAGGGGGACCUUCGGGCCUCUCGCGUCAGGAUAUGCCUAGGUGGGAUUAGCUAGUUGGUGAGGUAAGGGCUCACCAAGGCGACGAUCCCUAGCUGGUCUGAGAGGAUGAUCAGCCACACUGGAACUGAGACACGGUCCAGACUCCUACGGGAGGCAGCAGUGGGGAAUAUUGCACAAUGGGCGCAAGCCUGAUGCAGCCAUGCCGCGUGUGUGAAGAAGGCCUUCGGGUUGUAAAGCACUUUCAGUCGUGAGGAAGGUAGUGUAGUUAAUAGCUGCAUUAUUUGACGUUAGCGACAGAAGAAGCACCGGCUAACUCCGUGCCAGCAGCCGCGGUAAUACGGAGGGUGCGAGCGUUAAUCGGAAUUACUGGGCGUAAAGCGCAUGCAGGUGGUUUGUUAAGUCAGAUGUGAAAGCCCGGGGCUCAACCUCGGAAUAGCAUUUGAAACUGGCAGACUAGAGUACUGUAGAGGGGGGUAGAAUUUCAGGUGUAGCGGUGAAAUGCGUAGAGAUCUGAAGGAAUACCGGUGGCGAAGGCGGCCCCCUGGACAGAUACUGACACUCAGAUGCGAAAGCGUGGGGAGCAAACAGGAUUAGAUACCCUGGUAGUCCACGCCGUAAACGAUGUCUACUUGGAGGUUGUGGCCUUGAGCCGUGGCUUUCGGAGCUAACGCGUUAAGUAGACCGCCUGGGGAGUACGGUCGCAAGAUUAAAACUCAAAUGAAUUGACGGGGGCCCGCACAAGCGGUGGAGCAUGUGGUUUAAUUCGAUGCAACGCGAAGAACCUUACCUACUCUUGACAUCCAGAGAACUUUUCAGAGAUGAAUUGGUGCCUUCGGGAACUCUGAGACAGGUGCUGCAUGGCUGUCGUCAGCUCGUGUUGUGAAAUGUUGGGUUAAGUCCCGCAACGAGCGCAACCCUUAUCCUUGUUUGCCAGCGAGUAAUGUCGGGAACUCCAGGGAGACUGCCGGUGAUAAACCGGAGGAAGGUGGGGACGACGUCAAGUCAUCAUGGCCCUUACGAGUAGGGCUACACACGUGCUACAAUGGCGCAUACAGAGGGCGGCCAACUUGCGAAAGUGAGCGAAUCCCAAAAAGUGCGUCGUAGUCCGGAUUGGAGUCUGCAACUCGACUCCAUGAAGUCGGAAUCGCUAGUAAUCGUGGAUCAGAAUGCCACGGUGAAUACGUUCCCGGGCCUUGUACACACCGCCCGUCACACCAUGGGAGUGGGCUGCAAAAGAAGUAGGUAGUUUAACCUUCGGGGGGACGCUUACCACUUUGUGGUUCAUGACUGGGGUGAAG
rnacentral:rRNA from 2 species